AACGCUAGCUACAGGCUUAACACAUGCAAGUCGAGGGGCAGCAUGGACCCAGCUUUGCUGGGUUUGAUGGUGACCGGCGCACGGGUGAGUAACGCGUAUCCAACCUGCCCUUUACUCCGGGAUAGUCUCCUGAAAGGGAGUUUAAUACCGGAUGUGUUUGUCUUUCCGCAUGGGAGCGACAAAUAAAGAUUAAUUGGUAAAGGAUGGGGAUGCGUCCCAUUAGCUUGUUGGCGGGGUAACGGCCCACCAAGGCGACGAUGGGUAGGGGUUCUGAGAGGAAGGUCCCCCACAUUGGAACUGAGACACGGUCCAAACUCCUACGGGAGGCAGCAGUGAGGAAUAUUGGUCAAUGGGCGGGAGCCUGAACCAGCCAAGUAGCGUGAAGGACGACGGCCCUACGGGUUGUAAACUUCUUUUAUAAGGGAAUAAAGUUCGCCACGUGUGGUGUUUUGUAUGUACCUUAUGAAUAAGCAUCGGCUAAUUCCGUGCCAGCAGCCGCGGUAAUACGGAAGAUGCGAGCGUUAUCCGGAUUUAUUGGGUUUAAAGGGAGCGUAGGCGGGCUUUUAAGUCAGCGGUCAAAUGUCGUGGCUCAACCAUGUCAAGCCGUUGAAACUGUAAGCCUUGAGUCUGCACAGGGCACAUGGAAUUCGUGGUGUAGCGGUGAAAUGCUUAGAUAUCACGAAGAACUCCGAUUG
rnacentral:rRNA from 1 species